rnacentral:rRNA from 1 species
CGACCCAGGUCAGCGGGUUACCCGCUGAAUUUAAGCA